UACAGCCACCCCUGGCAGCCAGAACCGGGGCAUUUUGCUGGCCAGGCCUGGAGCCAGCAGGAUGAUACUUCCCCAGCCCUCCACAAACCAUCUAUGCUGCUUCUUUAACCUCUGGGCCACCAAAGCUUGAAUGCUCUGCUAUGCCACAGUGCAGCUUCAAGCAAAGGGGCUGAAAUCGUCUCGUUGUGCCAUCAGCCUGGUGGGUGCAGGGCAUUCCCAGGAAGAGCAGGCUCUGCUCGAGCCCUUGGCUCACGCUCCCUCCAGGUGGCAGGGAGCUGAGGUGAGUGUUAAGUGUCUGAUCUACAAAACACACAAGUUAGGUUUAAGUCAGGUCCUUGCUGUGGUAGAGAUGUAUUAAAUAUGAAUGAAUUUGCAGUGUUUAAAUAAAUAGGAAGGUUAUGUGGCAUGAAUUGCCUUCAAAAUAAAGCAAUUCACUCUGAACAUUUCUUCAAUCUUUCCCAUUGGUCUUGAAAAGCAUCUGAAUGUGAACCUUGAGAUACCUUCUGUCACCUUAAUAUUUUCAUGCAGGUACAGCGAGGAAGAAAACACCAAAAAUGUCACAAGAAGAAUCUGUGUGAAUCCUGGCAACCCUGGAUGAGCUCUAUGGGUGUGACCAUGUGUCAGAGAUCCCUGCUGCCAGAGCUCCUGACGGCCUCUGCAACCAACUGGCACAGCAUCAGGCAUCAAUGAUGGGAAUAUGCCGUCAGCUCCACUGCCUUGCUCCACAGAGGGACGCAAUGAAGGAGACCGACCAGUCUGGAGGACGUGGGACCUCUGAGGAUCUGCUCCCUGCCUUCUUUCAACUGAUGGAUGUAAAAAGUGGAGAAGGAGCACACAGUUCAGGUCAUGGCUGUGGGCUGAGGGAGGGACACUGUGGCUCUGGGCUGACAUGCACAGUUCAUUCCCUCCCAAAGAAAAGCAUUCUGUGUUGAGAAACCCCCUGUUCAGACCCAAUGUCUGGAAGCAGUAUCGUGUGUAUGGAAUCACACACUGGUUUCGCUUCUCUUUUUUUUUCUGUAGCAAUUAAGUUUCCAUUAAAUGGAAGAGGAAAAUGCUGUGCAUAAAAUUGAAAUAGAGCACAAAGUCAAGGGUAACAUCAAUUUGCUUACUGUCUUCCAGGAACUCUCAGAAGUUGCCCAUGUGCUAUGGAUAUCCAGAUUCUGUCUCAUUUCUCUUAGUUCUUGGUAAUGUGAUGAUGAGAAAAAAUCAUACUGAGGUUUUACAAGAGGCUUUUACGGGGUUGAUUUGUUCAGCUGGGGGAGGGAAGCUUGCAAAACCUGGUAGACAAUGUCUCUGAAUAUCUGAUAAUGGAGGUUGCUUUCUGGAGCAAAGUCCUGGAUGUGUAACUACAGCUUGUAGUGCGGCUGUAGCCUCAUGCUUUUGUCCCAAAGAAUCAUAGAAUGGCCUGAGCUGAAAAGGACCACAAUGCUCAUCNGAGAAAACACGCUGAGCACCAUUUUUACAAACUCUGCUCCAAGCGUGACCAUCAGAUGUGUUUAGAAUUGGUCCCAGAGAGCUCCCUGCUCAGCGAUGAUGUAACCUGGGUGUGGGGCACCCACACCGUCACUGGUGGCUCUUGGCGUCUGCGGGGGCUCUGAGAGUCUUUGAUAGGGGCGAUAAUAGGGAUUUUUUUUAAUAUGGUAUGCAGGAUUUGGGCACAAACUCAUAAAUGUGCUGAAGCUGGGACCUCUCUUCCUCCCAAAGUGCCAAAACUGUAUUUCAGAGGUGCAACGUGGCCAUCACUAAGCAAACAUACGCCAUAAGAGGGAGGUGCAGCUUCCCUGGGCACGUACCAUAACUUCCUGCCCGCCCCACUCGCCUUUGCUCUGUGCUGGAUUUAUUCCUUUUUUCCAGACCAUGCUGUCACUUUGUGCAUUUUGCUACUCGGCACCGCAAGCAUCUCGCAGCAGAACAAGCGUGUAUGUGAGCACGUGGAGCAGGGAUUUGCAUUAAUUACUCCCGAAGUGGCUGCUUUUC
rnacentral:lncRNA from 1 species